AUGGUGAAACCAUCUGCUUUUCUGAAGCCAUGUACUUCUGGGUGCAGGACUCUCAGAAAGGCUCAAGGACUUCAGUCCCCUUUCAGCUUCUUGGGCUUGACAUUCCUUGGAGACACACCAUGCAUUUCCCUUCUUGUGAAAUCUGAGCUGUAAGUAUACUCUGUGUUUAACCCUGUAGCAGACUCCAGUAUAAAUUGUUCUUGGGAAAGGCCAAUGGGGAGUGACUUUUAUAAAUCUUUCUUUGAUUUUCAUUGAGUUUCAAGCCAAAUAUACAAAGUACCAAAGGAAAAAACACCACACAAGGAGACAACCCCCCCCCCCCAAAAAAAACAAAAAAGAAGAAGAAAAGCAAACCCAAUAUUGUGAGAGCCCUUAAUUUUUUGGGGCAAAAUGAGUAUGUUCACUAAAUAGCACCAAAUACACAGUAGUCUAAAUUGACUUUUAAAAUAUUUACGGUAUUUGCUAAUUUACAUGGCAAUGUGGUGAUAUCAUGGGCCCUUCUGAAGCAGCCGACCUUAUAAUUUAUGGCCUGUGGGACUAAGAUUUUGUAAUCUGAAAAUGAUAGGGCGGAUUGAGGAUAGCCAUCUCAGCUCUUUAUCCUUGAUUCUGAGAAUGGCUGACUUUAGGCACUGCUCUUUACUUAAGCAGCUGCUCUCAUCUCUGGCAUUCACAGUGUGAGAGCUGUGAAUGUUAUUCUUGUCCUGAUCAUUACUCUCAGGGCCUAGGGCAGAGGAGUCCUGGUAAGAACCAGCUUCCAGUCCAGGGAUAAGGUGUAACUCCGGAAGAAAAAUCUUCCUGGUGACCCCCAGGCCCUAGAGCAAGGAAAAGAUGCCCCACUGACCUAGGUGGGGCUUGGCCACUACGAGGAAAACCCAACUUUGUCCAGGAUAUAUUGCAUUACUGAAUAGCUGGGCAGUAAGGGAACUUAGGUGGAAGGACACUUAUUUUCCACUGCAUCCACUCAUUUAACAAAUAUCUUAGGUCACCAACUGUAUGCCAGGUACUGUUUGGGAACUGGGGUUACAGUGGUGAACAAAAAUCUCUAUCCUCAGUGUCGGCCCCAUGGCCGAGUGGUUAAAGUUCCGUGCACUCUGAUUUGGUGGCCCGGGUUCAUGAGUUCGGAUCCCAGGCGUAGACCUACACCACUCAUCAGCCAUGCUGUGGAAGCAUCCCACAGACAAAAAAUAGAGGAAGAUUGGCACACAUGUUAGCUCAAGGCUAAUCUUCCUCACCAAAAAAAAAAAACCCCAAAACAAAAAAAAUUCCUAUCCUCAAGGAGAUUACAUUCUAGUGGGAGGAGGUGACAAAAAGUAGAAUAAAAAAGUGAACUAUGUAGCA
rnacentral:lncRNA from 1 species